CCCACCCCAUCACAAGGCCCCAAGACAAUGUUGGGUUGGAGGAGAGGCCAGGAAAUAAAUUCGCCUUCCUUUCUUACUACAAGCACCCCUUGAUCUGUAUCUGAUCACUGGUAGCAAUCCCCUUCCCUCACCCCCAGACCUUCCCGCCAAAGGCAGAGCACUAGGCAAUUAAUGGGGUGCACACAACAACAAAAUUUAUUGAAGUAACUUGGUAGUUAACACAAAAGCUGGCAUGAAGCCAGGACCCCAAAUUAUAAGUGGGUUAACAAGAUAAACAGGUAAAACUGUAUAUCACCAUAUCCCAAGGAUACCAGAAGGGGAGCAGGGACGCCAUAACAGGAUCGGGGGCUCGGCUGGAACAGGGACGGAAGAGGACCAUGACUAAGAUCACCACGGACUGGACGACAAGGACCAGGAACAACGACACCAGAUUAGGAGCUCACGAACAGUGAUUCUGCAGGCUAGGAAGGUACAAGCUAAUGCCUCCCAAGUGUAAAUAAGAAAAUGAAGAUUCCUAUUGCAGAAAAUCAGAUAAAUCCAACAACUGAAAAGCAGCCAACUCCAGGAUGGCUGACCAGUAGGGGCCAGCUUUGAAACAGCCUCCAAUUUUGCCCAUGCAAAUUCUGAGCCACUGCUGAAAUCGAUGGGACCUUUGCCAAUGUCUACAGUGGGAUCAAGAUCAGGCUCUUUUAACCAAAGCAAGUAUUGAGUCAUUUAAAUCGGGCAGUGAUUUAUAGUUGGAAAUAUCCAUGUGCAUAGGCCAAUGCUGAUUUUGUGCAUGCGAAUGAAUAUAUGCAAGCUUAGAAUAAGAAGCUACUUCUGAAAAUUGGCUUUUAUAUGUUGCAAUAUCUGCGCUAGUGUGUUUAUGUUCCACUGCCGUCUACUAAGCAGAAUCAGAUCUGCUUA